UUCGCAAUGCCCGAAAGGGUGAACGAGCGACGCCGCGUGCGGGAUGAAGGGUUUCGGCUUGUAAACCGCUUUUCUUUGGGAAGAAGGUCUGUCUCGUGCAGAUGGGCUCGACGGUACCAGAGGAAUAAGCCUCGGCUAACUCCGUGCCAGCAGCCGCGGUAAGACGGAGGAGGCGAGCGUUGUUCGGAAUUAUUGGGCAUAAAGCGCAUGUAGGCGGCCUCAAAAGUCAGGUGUGAAAUCCCCCGGCCCACCCGGGGAAUUGCAUUUGAAACUGAGGGGCUCGAGUGAUGAAGGGGAGAGUGGAACUUCUGGUGGAGCGGUAAAAUGCGUAGAUAUCAGGAGGAACGCCGGUGGAGAAGUCGACUCUCUGGCCAUCUACUGACGCUGAGAUGCGAAAGCUAGGGGAGCAAACGGGAUUAGAUACCCCGGUAGUCCUAGCCCUAAACGAUGGGCACUAAGUAGAGGGGUUUU
rnacentral:rRNA from 1 species